rnacentral:rRNA from 1 species
UUUUUUUUUGAUUUUAUGAUGAGUGGUGCAUGGCCGAUCUUAGUUCGUGGAAUGAUUUGUCUACUUAAUUGUGUUAACGAACGAGACCUUUAGAGAUAAAUAGUGAUUUUUGGAAGGUGUCAAAGCAAUUGAAAUGUCUUUAGAAGAAGGGCAUGUUUCCCCUUUUAAAUGUCAUCAUUUUAAUUGUAUCUUUCAUUGCUGAUCAAAAGAAAAGGGAAAAGUAUAGAUGUAAAAGUUUGUAUUUUUCUUUUUUAAUUUAUAAUACUUCUUAUUUCGACUAUUGGUGUAAAACCAAUGUAAGUUAAAGGUAAUAUCAGGUCUGUGAUGCCCUUAGAUGUUCUGGGCCACACGCGUGUUACAAUGGUAAAGAUCAAAGGGUAUUUAUUGAAUAGAAAGAGG